rnacentral:rRNA from 1 species
GACAGAGGGGGCAAGCGUUGCUCGGAAUCACUGGGCGUAAAGGGCGCGUAGGCGGGAUGGCAAGUCAGUCGUGAAAUCUCUCGGCUCAACCGAGAAACGUCGGCUGAUACUGCCGUUCUUGAGGGAUGCAGAGGAGACUGGAAUUCCCGGUGUAGCGGUGAAAUGUGUAGAGAUCGGGAGGAACACCGGUGGCGAAGGCGGGUCUCUGGGCAUCUCCUGACGCUGAGGCGCGAAAGCGUGGGGAUCGAACAGG